UACGGAGGGUGCAAGCGUUAUCCGGAUUCACUGGGUUUAAAGGGUGCGUAGGUGGGCAGGUAAGUCAGUGGUGAAAUCCCCGAGCUUAACUUGGGAACUGCCGUUGAUACUAUCUGUCUUGAAUAUUGUGGAGGUCAGCGGAAUAUGUCAUGUAGCGGUGAAAUGCUUAGAGAUGACAUAGAACACCAAUUGCGAAGGCAGCUGGCUACACAUAUAUUGACACUGAGGCUCGAAAGCGUGGGGAUCAAACAGG
rnacentral:rRNA from 1 species